CAUUUAAGGAUCAAGUCCUUAAAGACUGGUAAGGCGUGAGUGGUCCGGCGGCUGCGGGUUGUGUCUCAAAAAAAAAAAAAAUUCAGUCUCUUUCUCCGUCACAAAAAAAAAAAUCUCUCUCAACUUCUCUCGAAGACGAUGGCGUCUGAGAAAAAACAGAGGAGGAUUUGCCGUGGGUCGAAGCAGUAAACGGGCAAAAGGGAGAGCGACUCGUCGUUGGCGGAGUUGAGACACUCGUUGUCGUGGACGCGGAGGUCUGAUCGAGUCCGUCUCUGAGCUCCGGAAGAAUCUCGAGCCGAGAGGGUCCAAUCUCGUUGUCAGGGUGGGGAAACCAGAAUCUGUUCUGGUGGAAUUGGCUAAGGAGAUCGGAGCAGACGCGAUUUACGCACACAGGGAAGUGUCUCACGACGGAGCGUUCAAGGAGGGUGAUUCAAUCUUUUUUUGUUCAAGGAGCAAUAUUAGAAAAAUAAGGUUGAGAAAUGUGGUGGGAAAGUCUCGAGCUCUGUUAAAGGGGUAACGUGUUUGGUGGUUUCACCGGCUGAAAGAGAGAGAGGUGGUUCCUCAAAACUGGUGGAAGCCAUGGAACAAGGUCUACCGGUUGUGAGCGAGGCGUGGUUGAUUGAUAGCAAUUGAGUCCUUAUCAGCUGAGUGGAGACUGAAGUCAUGAGUUCUACAAGAAGACAAGUGUUCAUUGUUCUCACUGUUUUAGCUUUGGCAAUGCCGUUCAACUGCUUGAUUCCUCCUUCUCCAGGUUUUAAUGUCCCUGUUUUUUUUUUGUGCUUGCCUUCUUUGGUUUUUAUGUAUUGUUAUAAGUUAUCAACACUUGUUUUCUCAGAUCAGUGAAUGUAGCGAAUUAGUAAUAUUGUUAGGUGAACUUAUUUUCUGAUGAACUUAGUAUUGAAUGCAGUUCUGGUCA